UGGGGAAUUUUGGACAAUGGGCGAAAGCCUGAUCCAGCAAUGCCGCGUGUGUGAAGAAGGCCUUCGGGUUGUAAAGCACUUUUGUCCGGAAAGAAAUCCUUGGCUCUAAUACAGUCGGGGGAUGACGGUACCGGAAGAAUAAGCACCGGCUAACUACGUGCCAGCAGCCGCGGUAAUACGUAGGGUGCAAGCGUUAAUCGGAAUUACUGGGCGUAAAGCGUGCGCAGGCGGUUUGCUAAGACCGAUGUGAAAUCCCCGGGCUCAACCUGGGAACUGCAUUGGUGACUGGCAGGUUAGAGUAUGGCAGAGGGGGGUAGAAUUCCACGUGUAGCAGUGAAAUGCGUAGAGAUGUGGAGGAAUACCGAUGGCGAAGGCAGCCCCCUGGGCCAAUACUGACGCUCAUGCACGAAAGCGUGGGGAGCAAACAGGAUUAGAUACCCUGGUAGUCCACGCCCU
rnacentral:rRNA from 1 species